rnacentral:rRNA from 1 species
GACGAAGGUGGCUAGCGUUGCUCGGAUUUACUGGGCAUAAAGCGCGCGUAGGUGGUCCUGUAAGCGAGAGAUGAAAGCCCAUGGCUCACCCAUGGAACUGUCCCUCGGACUGCAGGGCUGGAGGGCGGGAGGGGAGAAUGGAAUUCCCGGUGUAGCGGUGAAAUGCGUAGAUAUCGGGAGGAACGCCGGUGGCGAAAGCGAAUUCUCUGGCCCGUUCCUGACACUGAUGCGCGAGAGCUAGGGGAGCAAACAGGG